rnacentral:rRNA from 1 species
CCUACGGGAGGCAGCAGUGGGGACUUUUGCGCAAUGCUCGUAAGAGUGACGCAGCGACGCCGCGUGAAUGACGAAGGCCUUCGGGUCGUAAAGUUCUUUCGACAGGGAAGAAAAUGCCUAUAAGUAACUGUGUAUGUAUUGACGGUACCUGUAUAAGCAGCCCCGGCUAACUCCGUGCCAGCAGCCGCGGUAAUACGGAGGGGGCGAGCGUUGUUCGGAGGGACUGGGCGUAAAGAGCACGUAGGCGGUGUUGUAAGUCAUUAGUCAAAGACUAGAGCUCAACUUUAGUAAGGCUAGUGAUACUAUAAUACUAGAGUAUCAGAGAGGAUUGCAGAAUUCCUGGUGUAGCGGUGAAAUGCGUAGAUAUCAGGAGGAAUACCGUUAGCGAAGGCGGCAAUCUGGCUGGAAACUGACGCUGAGGUGCGAAAGCGUGGGUAGCAAACAGGAUUAGAUACCCCUGUAGUC